AGUGAACGCUGGCGGCGUGCUUAACACAUGCAAGUCGAACGAGAAUGGAAUAUAGCUUGCUAUAUUUGUCAGCUAAGUGGCGCACGGGUGAGUAAUGUAUAGAUAACCUGCCCUUAAGAAAGGAAUAACAGUUGGAAACGACUGCUAAUGCCCUAUAUGCCUUUAAUACAUAAGUAUGCAAGGGAAACGCUUUAGUGCUUAAGGAUGGGUCUGUAUGGUAUCAGCUUGUUGGUGAGGUAAUGGCUCACCAAGGCUAUGACGCCUAACUGGUUUGGGAGGAUGAUCAGUCACACUGGAACUGAGACACGGUCCAGACUCCUACGGGAGGCAGCAGUGGGGAAUAUUGCACAAUGGACGAAAGUCUGAUGCAGCAACGCCGCGUGGAGGAUGACACAUUUCGGUGCGUAAACUCCUUUUAUAUAGGAAGAUAAUGACGGUACUAUAUGAAUAAGCACCGGCUAACUCCGUGCCAGCCGCCGCGGUAA
rnacentral:rRNA from 1 species